GACGAACGCUGGCGGCGCGCCUAACACAUGCAAGUCGAACGAGCGAGAGAGAGCUUGCUUUCUCGAGCGAGUGGCGAACGGGUGAGUAACGCGUGAGGAACCUGCCUCAAAGAGGGGGACAACAGUUGGAAACGACUGCUAAUACCGCAUAAGCCCACGGUGCCGCAUGGCACAGAGGGAAAAGGAGCAAUCCGCUUUGAGAUGGCCUCGCGUCCGAUUAGCUAGUUGGUGAGGUAAUGGCCCACCAAGGCGACGAUCGGUAGCCGGACUGAGAGGUUGAACGGCCACAUUGGGACUGAGACACGGCCCAGACUCCUACGGGAGGCAGCAGUGGGGAAUAGUGCACAAUGGGGGAAACCCUGAUGCAGCGACGCCGCGUGGAGGAAGAAGGUCUUCGGAUUGUAAACUCCUGUUGUUGGGGAAGAUAAUGACGGUACCCAACAAGGAAGUGACGGCUAACUACGUG
rnacentral:rRNA from 1 species